rnacentral:pre_miRNA from 1 species
CAGCGAUUGUCGGCCUAGUCGCUUAUUAUAGUAUAAAAGUCUAGUGACUAGACCGAACACUCGUGCU